UACGUAGGGAGCAAGCGUUGUCCGGAAUCAUUGGGCGUAGAGCGCGCGUAGGUGGCCUCAUAAGUCCGCUGUGAAAGUCAAAGGCUCAACCUUUGAAAGCCGGUGGAUACUGUGAGGCUAGAGUACGGAAGAGGCGAGUGGAAUUCCUGGUGUAGCGGUGGAAUGCGCAGAUAUCAGGAGGAACACCAAUAGCGAAGGCAGCUCGCUGGGACGUUACUGACACUGAGGCGCGAAAGCGUGGGGAGCGAACAGG
rnacentral:rRNA from 1 species